UAUACCUGUAAUUCCUAUUUCAUUUCAAUAAAUUUAACCAAUAAUUGGUCUUGAGGCCUUUCAUACGAGCUUCUGCUUUUUGUAAAGUUGAGGUCUUAAUGCACUUUUGUAGUUUCUGCCUUCUUGUGUCUGUGAAACCCUAUGUACCUAUGUACGCAUGUUGUGUUUGCCAACAGUUACCUUGAUAUCUCUUGCAGCUUAACAACAAGUUAUGAGGAUCUACUUUUGUCCACAGCGCCUUUUCAACAGCCAAUAUCAUUAACUGAGAUGGUUGAUUUUUUAGUAGAUUUUUGGCACGAAGAAGGUCUCUAUGAUUAAAUUUCAUAUUAUUAUUGUAAGCUUCGGUAAGAAUCUUGCACGGUUUUGUUUGUAAUUGUGCUGAUUGUUGCUGAGGCAAACAAGUUUUGGACAAGUUCGUGGAAGAUCCCCAUACCAUUGGAUUGAUUAUUAUGAUAGUAAAGUUUAUUCUCUUGAUAACAAAAA